AGUCUUUGAGGGACACUUCAUAUCCGCACCAUCACACAAACCUUGUAAUAUUAUUUAAAUCUAUUAUCUAUGCACAUGCAUUCUCCUUCAAUAUGAAAUUCAAUUUAAAAAUUAAAAUAGGAUGAUGAAGGCUGUCUUGGAGGAAUGUGCAAGAAUAUGCAUUUAUUCUUAAUGACAUAAUGUCUCUAAUUAGUAAAACUGUGAAAAGGUUUUACUAGGCUAAGUGCGGAGGCCUGUGAAAAUACAUCAGCAAUCCCCAACAUAGAGAUGAGCAUGUUCCAAAAGCUUAUUUCUAUUUUUUUUUAACACCUCUGUUGGAAAAUGCCCGGAUUAGUCCACCUGGGGCAGAAAGCAGAACUUCCAAGAAUCCCAGCAUUGGCUGCCACUCAGGGUGUAGAGGAAAUACAAUUUGUAUCAAAAAGGGGAAUUGGGAGCUUGGGAGACCUCCAGGAGAGAGGAGUGAGAAGAGAGAAAGGAGGAGAAACAUCCCAAGAGUCAACACACAAGGACAUAAGUGCCAGAGAGGCCCCUGCUGACUCAGGUAUUUUCUGCUGCAACUGGUGAUUCAUCUGCCUCCUACUUCAACCUGCAAGCUCCUGUUCACUCAGGGAGAAACCAGUGGCCACACCGUGAGGACAAGACGGUAAGGAGCUGGGAUCUCUUGUCAACAUCCAUAUGAGCCCUCUUGGAUGUGGCUUCUCCAACCCCAGUCAAUCCUUCUGAUGACUUCAGCCCCAGCUGACAACUUAAACAUGACUGAAAACUCUAAAAACCGAGCCAGAACCACCCAGAGAAGCGCCUCUCAGAAGCCAUGCAAGAUAAUAAAUGUUCUAAGUAGUUAA